CCUACGGGUGGCAGCAGUAGGGAAUUUUGCGCAAUGGGGGAAACCCUGACGCAGCAACGCCGCGUGAUCGAUGAAGCCCUUCGGGGUGUAAAGCUCUGUCAGUGGGGACGAAACCUGACGGUACCCACAGAGGACGCACCGGCUAACUCCGUGCAAGCAGCCGCGGUAAUACGGGGGGUGCAAGCGUUGUCCGGAAUCAUUGGGCGUAAAGAGUUCGUAGGUGGCACGUUAAGUCUGGUGUUAAAGGCGGGGGCUCAACUUCCGUAGGGCACUGGAUACUGGCGAGCUUGAAUGCGGUAGAGGUAAAGGGAAUUCCUGGUGUAGCGGUGAAAUGCGUAGAUAUCAGGAGGAACAUCGGUGGCGAAGGCGAUUUACUGGGCCAUAAUUGACGCUGAGGAGCGAAAGCCGGGGGAGCAAAUGGGAUUAGAUACCCUAGUAGUC
rnacentral:rRNA from 1 species